rnacentral:rRNA from 1 species
UGAGGAAUAUUGGUCAAUGGACGGAAGUCUGAACCAGCCAAGUAGCGUGCAGGAUGACGGCCCUAUGGGUUGUAAACUGCUUUUGUAUGGGGAUAAAGUUAGGGACGUGUCCCUAUUUGCAGGUACCAUACGAAUAAGGACCGGCUAAUUCCGUGCCAGCAGCCGCGGUAAUACGGAAGGUCCAGGCGUUAUCCGGAUUUAUUGGGUUUAAAGGGAGCGUAGGCUGGAGAUUAAGUGUGUUGUGAAAUGUAGACGCUCAACGUCUGAAUUGCAGCGCAUACUGGUUUCCUUGAGUACGCACAACGUUGGCGGAAUUCGUCGUGUAGCGGUGAAAUGCUUAGAUAUGACGAAGAACUCCGAUUGCGAAGUCAGCUGACGGGAGCGCAACUGACGCUUAAGCUCGAAGGUGCGGGUAUCAAACAGG